UACGUAGGGGGCAAGCGUUGUCCGGAAUCAUUGGGCGUAAAGAGCGUGUAGGCGGCCCGAUAAGUCCGCUGUGAAAGUCCAGGGCUCAACCCUGGGAUGCCGGUGGAUACUGUCGGGCUCGAGUCCGGAAGAGGAGUGUGGAAUUCCUGGUGUAGCGGUGAAAUGCGCAGAUAUCAGGAGGAACACCGGUGGCGAAGGCGGGUCUCUGGGCCGGAACUGACGCUAAGGAGCGAAAGCGUGGGGAGCAAACGGGG
rnacentral:rRNA from 1 species